UACGUAGGGGGCAAGCGUUAUCCGGAUUUACUGGGUGUAAAGGGAGCGUAGACGGAAUUGCAAGUCUGAUGUGAAAAUCCGGGGCCCAACCCCGGAACUGCAUUGGAAACUGUAUUUCUUGAGUGCAGAAGAGGAGAGUGGAACUCCAUGUGUAGCGGUGGAAUGCGUAGAUAUAUGGAAGAACACCAGUGGCGAAGGCGGCUCUCUGGUCUGUAACUGACGCUGAGGCUCGAAAGCAUGGGUAGCGAACAGG
rnacentral:rRNA from 1 species